rnacentral:rRNA from 1 species
AUUGAACGCUGGCGGCAUGCCUUACACAUGCAAGUCGAACGGUAACAGGUCUUCGGAUGCUGACGAGUGGCGAACGGGUGAGUAAUACAUCGGAACGUGCCCGAUCGUGGGGGAUAACGGAGCGAAAGCUUUGCUAAUACCGCAUACGAUCUACGGAUCAAAGCAGGGGACCGCAAGGCCUUGCGCGGACGGAGCGGCCGAUGGCAGAUUAGGUAGUUGGUGGGAUAAAAGCUUACCAAGCCGACGAUCUGUAGCUGGUCUGAGAGGACGACCAGCCACACUGGGACUGAGACACGGCCCAGACUCCUACGGGAGGCAGCAGUGGGGAAUUUUGGACAAUGGGCGAAAGCCUGAUCCAGCCAUGCCGCGUGCAGGAUGAAGGCCUUCGGGUUGUAAACUGCUUUUGUACGGAACGAAAAGACUCUUUCUAAUAAAGAGGGUCCAUGACGGUACCGUAAGAAUAAGCACCGGCUAACUACGUG